rnacentral:lncRNA from 1 species
CGUUAUGGGGGGAGCGGGGCCGGGGGGAGCUGCGUUGAGUCAUUCCCCUCCCGGCAGGGCCCCUCGAACCGGAGGCUCCACGGCCGCCACGCGGGUGAGGGAAACCAUUCACACCCUGGCUCCUCUCCUGGCCCCGGUGCAAACCCGGGGGCCCCCGGCCUGCAAACCCAUGCCCGGCGCAGGACCUUUGCACCGGGACCCCGUGUGCCGUGGGGCUGUGUUCCCAGGGUGCAGAACCCGUCCCCGUCCCCCCACCACCCCAGGGGGCACCCGGAGCCAGGGUGGCAGCCCCAGCGCACAGCCGAACAAGCGAGGGCUGUGUGCCGCCUGGCAGCGGGCGCACGCGUGCGCGAGCCUGGCCAGACACCGCUUUUCCAUUUACACCCUCGUAAACUGACGGCAGCUGGGGGAAACCACAGCAUCGCUGACGGCCCCGCUUGCCCCCAGGGCCGGGUGCUGAGCCCUGAGGCCGGGCAGCCCCUGUCGAGAGCGGCAGCUCCGCUCGGUGCUGGGACAGAAGCCCCCUCCCCAUCCCAGCCCUGGGUCUUGCAGGGCUUGCGGAGCGCCGUUCGCCGCACUACGUGCUUUUUGGCAGUGCCAGCUGCAAGGAACUCCCCAUUCCUGGCAGGCGUGGAGGAAUGCAAACAGAGCUGUCAUCCUUGGAGGAAUUCCUGCUGCAGCCGCAGGCCCGGGGGCUGCUCGCCGCCCCACGCGCGUCGCUGCGGUGAGCCGGGUUGGCGGGCGGCCCUCCAGCAGCGAGGGGAGAGCUCGUGCCCUGCCGGGCCGGGGACAUGUCCUGCUGACAGCCUGGGCUCCUGCGCUGCCGCUUUCUGCUGCACUGCCCAGGACGCAGCCGGCCGGGGGCUGUCCCCAGACACGCUGUGGCACAGCAGGAGGGGGGCACCAGUGCCAUGGGGCUCUGCCUGCGCAGCCACGGGGCUGGGGAGCUGCGAGGGCAAGAGGCAGAGGGCUCAGCCCCAUGACUGCUGGGGGAGGGAGAUGCUCCCAGCACUGCCACAGAUGCAAACAAAGGUGCCGAGCAGAUGCAGGACCUUGAGGACCCACGGUUUUCCCUCUUCGCCACGUCCCCCAGUGCUGUAG